rnacentral:tRNA from 1 species
AGUAAUUUAAGUUAGUUAGACUGUUUGUUUUCAAAACAAAAAGCGGUUUGAUACCAUUUGCUG